CUUGAUUCAUAGCUUUUGCUGAUUUCUAAGUGUAAAUAGUCACACUAAGAAUUUAACAAUCAACUUUUGCAAGCCACUACAUACUAGUUCCAGAAAAGCCCUGCAUGUAAUACUGGUUGGUAAAGUGAAACACAGGUUCUAUAGAGCCAGAAAGAUUUCAGAUACAGACUUAUGAUGGACAUUCAUGUGCCAUCUGAAGACCAGACAAUUUAAUUUGGAGAAGUCCAUAACCUGUAUUUGUUUGUUAUGGAAAAUUAUAAAAGCUUUAAAACAAACUUGCAAUGGUUGUAAUCUGCCUCUCAGACUUUUUGAAAUAUUAAAAGUAAGUCCUAUCUCCCAAACAAAAUCACAAGUUCUUUAAGGGAAGGGACAACUUCUUAUUCAUCUUUGUAUUUUUCUCAGUGCCUGUCAUGUAACAGGAGUUUGCUGUAUGUUUCUUAAAUGAAUAUAUGAAAUGAUAAAACAUAGAGACUAUAAAAUUCUGAAUUAACAUAGAUUUAUAUUGUACAUAUAUGCAAUAAAUACCCCACUUCCUUUGUACCUACUCUUUCUCACCCAGUCCCCCCAAGAUUGUUCCAUAGAUUUGGGUAGACCAAAAUGGUUGGUCAUUGUUGUUCUAUUUGAGGUCUUCUUGGCAAAGAUAGUGGAAUAGUUUACCAUUUUCUUCUCCAGCUCAUUUUACAGAUGAGGAAACUGAGGCAAACAGGGUAAACUUACUGGACUGGGGUCACACACAGUAAGUGCCUGAGAUCAGAGUUGAACUUAGGUUUUUCUGACUCCAGGCCCAGCACACUGUCCAAUGUAGCACCCAACAGUCCCAGAGGCCUACCUCAGUCUUAAGUGACCUUGAUUCAAAGACAACCACAGUCCAGGCUUGCAUAGACUUCUAUAGACUCAGAUCUUUGUUAUUAACUUUUUUCAAUGACAAAAUAUUCAUUUUUUUCUCUUUCUUACCCCCUGCCAUCCACUGGAAAGAAAGACAGACAGAAAGAAAGAAAGAAAGAAAGAAAGAAAGAAAGAAAGAAAGAAAGAAAGAAAGAAAGAAAGAAAGAAAGGAAGAAGGAAGGAAGGAAGGAAGGAAGAAAGGAAGGAAAGAAUAAGGAAGAAGAAAGAAAGAAGGGAGGCAGGAGGAAAGAGGAAAAGAGAGAAGAAAAUAAAGAAAAAAAUAAAUUAACAGAUGGAAAAAUUGAAAGAGUCUAAACUCACGUAGCAAAAGAGAAGAAAAUGAGCAGAGACCAGAUUUCCUUACUACUAAUUAUGGAGGUGAUCUUGGAGUUUCAGAGAUUAUAUGAGAGAGAUGAAGCUGUGAGAGAACCUCUGGGAUGGAAAAGCUCCAAUAAUGGAUCCAGUGACAGACUGUGUGUCUGUUGCCAGAGGACAAGCCUCAGUAAGCUAAAGAAGUUUGCCACUAGACUGCUUGCACACUCAUGAAAUGCUAGACCACAGCAACUCUACUGAAAUCAGGUUAUUGAUGUAUAUGCCUUUCCAGUGAUUGGCAUCACUGGAGGAAUUAAAUACUUGAACAGCAUGGGAUUUUGCUCAUCUGGUUAUCACAAACUCAUUGACUAAGGCCAUGUUUUGUAAAUAUAAUCAGAUGAAAACCCAGCCAAACAGUUGACUGUUUUGUCUCCACUGCUUUAAACACCUAGAUAUUGUAGACACAGAGAUGUUUGGCGUCUCUUGGACUGAAAUAAUUUUUUUUUUUGCCUCUGCUUUGGUGUGGAGUCAGUACAGUCUCAUUCACACAGAAACAUA